rnacentral:rRNA from 1 species
CUGGCUCAGGAUGAACGCUAGCGGCAGGCUUAACACAUGCAAGUCGAGGGGCAGCGCGAGUAGCAAUACUUGGCGGCGACCGGCGCAAGGGUGCGUAACGCGUGAGCAACAUGCCCGUAUCAGGGGGAUAAUCCAGGGAAACUUGGUCUAAUACCCCAUAGUAAUUUUGUAAGGCAUCUUAUAAGAUUUAAAGCUUUGGUGGAUACGGAUUGGCUCGCGUGACAUUAGCUGGAUGGUAAGGUAACGGCUUACCAUGGCUAUGAUGUCUAGGGGUUCUGAGAGGAAGGUCCCCCACACUGGAACUGAGACACGGUCCAGACUCCUACGGGAGGCAGCAGUGAGGAAUAUUGGACAAUGGAUGGAAAUCUGAUCCAGCCAUGCCGCGUGAAAGGAAGAAGGUCCUAUGGAUUGUAAACUUCUUUUGUAUGGGAGCAAUAAGGCCUACGAGUAGGUUGAUGAGAGUACCAUACGAAUAAGCACCGGCUAACUCCGUGCCAGCCGCCGC